GACGAACGCUGGCGGCAUGCCUAACACAUGCAAGUCGAACGAGACCUUCGGGCCUAGUGGCGCACGGGUGCGUAACGCCUGGGAACCUGCCCUUAAGUUCGGAAUAACUCCCCGAGAGAGGUGCUAAUAACGGUUAAUGUCUUCGGACCAAAGAUUUAUCGCCUUUGGAUGGGCCCGUGUUGGAUUAGCUAGUUGGUAGGGUAAAAGCCUACCAAGGCGACGAUCCAUAGCUGGUCUGAGAGGAUGACCAGCCAGACUGGCACUGCGACACGGCCCAGUACCGUACGGGAGGGAGCAGUGUGGAAUAUUGUAGAAGGGGCGAUAGCCUAAUCAAGCAACGUCGCGGGAGUGAGCAAUGGCUUAGUGUUGCAAAUCUGUUUGUCCCGGGAUGAUAAUGACAGUACUGGGUGAAGAAGCUCCGGCUAACUCCGUG
rnacentral:rRNA from 1 species